rnacentral:rRNA from 1 species
UACGAACCGAGCGAACGUUGUUCGGAAUCACUGGGCUUAAAGGGCGCGUAGGCGGGCCCGCCAGUCUGUGGUGAAAUCCUCCGGCUCAACCGGAGAACUGCCUCGGAUACUGCGGGUCUCGAGGGUGAUAGGGGUAUGCGGAACUAUCGGUGGAGCGGUGAAAUGCGUUGAUAUCGAUAGGAACUCCGGUGGCGAAGGCGGCAUACUGGAUCACUUCUGACGCUGAGGCACGAAAGCGUGGGGAGCAAACAGG